rnacentral:lncRNA from 1 species
CACUGACCUCCUCUAAUGAGAAUCAACAUGAGAAAAUCUCACAUAUGAAAAUGCAGACUAAUAACAAUAACAAACAUAAAUAAGCACCACCAGUUUGCCAGGCAGCAUGCUAUGCAAUGUUCAUGCCUUCUCUCAUUUAGUUCUCUCAAAUACCCAUGCGGUACAUAUGAUUAUUGCCUCAAACCACCUAUUUAGUCAACAAGUUGAGCACCUACAAUGUGUCCAAAAUCAUUCAGAGCCAGACAUUUGAUACUAAGUAGAACAGCAGGACACGUGUCCCCAUGCUGGUGGUGGGGAUGGGGACAGAAAAGGGCAUUGAGGCUUAGUGAGAUCAAGUCAACUUCCAAGGUCAUAUAGUGAGAAUUUUAACCCAGGGCUGCAGGUGGGGCACAGGAGUCCUUGUCCCCACCUUGGUCUCAUCCUGGAGCCCCCUAGGGAGCCUUACGAAGUGCACAUGCCCCUGUUAGAACUCUCGGCCAUGGGUAGGGUUGUUUUGGUUUUUGUUAAUAAGUAACGUCAAACUGAUGGUGAAACCUUCUCCAGGCAACAACUUCUGACCCCUGUGGAUAGCUUUGGCUUCGUGCACCGGGGAGACAAGAAACUGCCCACGGCCUCCAGUCCUCAGUGGCCCCCACCCAACAGCCUCCUCUUCAUCCACGCAAUGGGGCUUCAGGUCAGACGAGUCGGACUCCUUUGGUCCCUACAGGGGUAAUUCUAAGGACAGUAGGUUCUGGAAACCUUUUUCCUGCUGCGUUCUAAGGAAUGAGGGAUUUUCGCCCCUGUGGCCUCUGUUCCACUCAGCAGCGCCCUUCUGUGAGCCAGAUGUGAAAGUAUCACACAGGCACAGGAGAUCGGGGUUCUGAUCACAGGCCGCGUGGCAAACUUCCUGCCUGACCCUAGGUAAGUCUUUUACAGAUUUUUCUUCUUUAUCUGAAAAUUGCAGCGGUUGGAUCAAAUCAGUGAUUUUUCAGAUGAAAUCUUCUUCAUAUAUAAAAUAAGCGGCUUUGACUGAAGGAGGAACGGGCCUGGAGUCCUCUCUAUCUUCCCGCUGGCCUCCCUGUCUUCUGUAAAAUCCUCUCAGGCACUGCUGUAACCCCUAGGGCUCCCUGGAAAUGUUGACCUCAUGAGAUGUAGGUAUUUGUUUACCUUAGCAUUAUGUGACAUUUUAUUUCUCUGUAAAAGCAAGAAGAUUGGAUUCAGUUGUUUCCAAGGAUGAGCUGUGAUUUAACCCCAGACUUGCAGAGAUGAAUGAAUGAUCUGCCACCUCUUGCUGAUUAAAGGCUUUAACUUCUCCAUCCAGUGGAAGCAGUUUCCUCCAUGAGAACUAAGAAAGGUCACACAUGGGGGUGAGCUUUUUUGAACAUUGGGGCUGCCUCCUCUGGUUCUUGGGGAGAUUCUGCUUCCUGCAGCAUCAACUUAGAGAUAGCUUUGCUUUCAUGCCACAGAUCCUCUCCUUGGGUACCAAGCAGAGAUAGAGUUCCACAUCAGGAGAUCCCGUUACAUGCUU